UUAGAGUUUGAUCCUGGCUCAGGAUGAACGCUAGCGGCAGGCUUAACACAUGCAAGUCGAGGGGCAGCGAGGGUAAUAGCAAUAUUACCUGUCGGCGACCGGCGCACGGGUGCGUAACGCGUAUGCAACCUACCAUCAACAGGGGGAUAACACUGAGAAAUUGGUACUAAUACCCCAUAAUAUCUCAUGCGGCAUCGCAUGGGGUUGAAAACUCCGGUGGGUGAUGAUGGGCAUGCGUUGUAUUAGCUGGUUGGUGAGGUAACGGCUCACCAAGGCGACGAUACAUAGGGGGACUGAGAGGUUAACCCCGCAUCAUUGGUACUGAGACACGGACCAAACUCAUACGGGAGGCAGCAGUGAGGAAUAUUGGUCAAUGGACGCAAGUCUGAACCAGCCAUGCCGCGUGCAGGAUGACGGCUCUAUGAGUUGUAAACUGCUUUUGUACGAGGGUAAACCCCGAUACGUGUAUUGGGUUGAAAGUAUCGUACGAAUAAGGAUCGGCUAACUCCGUGCCAGCAGCCGCGGUAAUACGGAGGAUCCGAGCGUUAUCCGGAUUUAUUGGGUUUAAAGGGUGCGUAGGCGGUUUGAUAAGUUAGAGGUGAAAUGUCGGGGCUCAACCCCGAAACUGCCUCUAAUACUGUUGGACUAGAGAAUAGUUGCGGUAGGCGGAAUGUAUGGUGUAGCGGUGAUAUGCUUAGAGAUCAUACAGAACACCGAUUGCGAAGGCAGCUUACCAAACUAUAUCUGACGUUGAGGCACGAAAGCGUGGGUAGCAAACAGGAUUAGAUACCCUGGUAGUCCACGCAGUAAACGAUGAUAACUCGUUGUCGGCGAUACACAGUCGGUGACUAAGCGAAAGCGAUAAGUUAUCCACCUGGGGAGUACGUUUGCAAGAAUGAAACUCAAAGGAAUUGACGGGGGCCCGCACAAGCGGAGGAACAUGUGGUUUAAUUCGAUGAUACGCGAGGAACCUUACCCGGGCUUGAAAGUUAGCGACGACGCUUGAAAGAGCGUUUCCUUUCGGGGCGCGAAACUAGGUGCUGCAUGGUUGUCGUCAGCUCGUGCCGUGAGGUGUCGGGUUAAGUCCCAUAACGAGCGCAACCCCUACUGUUAGUUGCCAUCAGGUGAUGCUGGGCACUCUAGCGGGACUGCCGGUGUAAGCCGAGAGGAAGGUGGGGAUGACGUCAAAUCAGCACGGCCCUUACGUCCGGGGCCACACACGUGUUACAAUGGUAGGUACAGAGGGCAGCUACCCUGCGAAGGGGUGCGAAUCUUGAAAGCCUAUCUCAGUUCGGAUUGGAGGCUGAAACCCGCCUCCAUGAAGUUGGAUUCGCUAGUAAUCGCGCAUUAGCCAUGGCGCGGUGAAUACGUUCCCGGGCCUUGUACACACCGCCCGUCA
rnacentral:rRNA from 1 species